AAACCGGUGCUAAUACCGGAUACCCCCAUACCAUCGCAUGAUGGAAUGAGGAAAUGAUUUAUUGCUCUUGGAGGGGCUCGCGGCCUAUCAGCUUGUUGGUGAGGUAAUGGCUCACCAAGGCUUCGACGGGUAGCUGGUCUGAGAGGACGACCAGCCACACUGGGACUGGGACACGGCCCAGACUCCUACGGGAGGCAGCAGUGGGGAAUAUUGCGCAAUGGGCGAAAGCCUGACGCAGCAACGCCGCGUGGAGGACGAAGGCUCUCGGGUUGUAAACUCCUUUCAGCAGGGAAGAAAUUGACGGUACCUGCAGAAGAAGCACCGGCCAACUACGUGCCAGCAGCCGCGGUAAUACGUAGGGUGCAAGCGUUGUCCGGAUUCAUUGGGCGUAAAGAGCUCGUAGGCGGCUUGGCAAGUCGGAUGUGAAACCCUCAGGCUCAACCUGGGGAUGCCAUCUGAUACUGCUAUGGCUAGAGUACGGUAGGGGACUACGGAAUUCCUGGUGUAGCGGUGAAAUGCGCAGAUAUCAGGAGGAACACCGGUGGCGAAGGCGGUAGUCUGGGCCGUUACUGACGCUGAGGAGCGAAAGCGUGGGGAGCGAACAGGAUUAGAUACCCUGGUAGUCCACGCCGUAAACGUUGGGCACUAGGUGUGGGGUCUAUUCGACGGACCCGUGCCGUAGCUAACGCAUUAAGUGCCCCCCCUGGGGAGUACGGCCGCAAGGCUGAAACUCAAAGGAAUUGACGG
rnacentral:rRNA from 1 species